UACGGAAGGUGCAAGCGUUAGUCGGAAUUAUUGGGCGUAAGGGGUGCGUAGGCGGGAAAGAAAGUCGGACGUGAAAUUCUGGGGCUUAACCUCAGAGCUGCAUCCGAAACUGUUUUUCUAGAGGAAUGGCGGAGAAGACGGAAUUCCAUGUGUAGCGGUGAAAUGCGUAGAUAUAUGGAAGAACACCUGUGGCGAAAGCGGUCUUCUAGCCUCCUCCUGACGCUGAGGCACGAAAGCAAGGGGAUCAAACAGG
rnacentral:rRNA from 1 species